CUGGGAAGUCAUUCCACCUCCUAGUUUAUUUUUUUUUAAGUUUGUUUAUUUUUGAGAGAGAGAGAGAGAGAGAGCAGACGCAUGAAUGAGAGAGAAAGAGCAGGGGAGGGGCAGAGAGAGGGGAAGAGAGAGGAUCCCUGAUGGUGCAGAGCCCCAUGUGGGGCUUGAUCUCCCGAAUCUUGAGAUCGUGACGUUAGCCGAAAUCUACAAUUGGAUGCUUAACCAGCUGAGUCACCCAGCUGCCCCAACUUCCCAACUUCAACGCCUCCAUAUCUUCAUGUCACGGCAUCUGGAAGGACAUCCGGACUCUUCUCUGGCCUCCAAGGUCACAGCUGAUUGGUCCAGCCUCUCUCCCUGACUCAUCUCCCAAGCCCUCGGCUGGUGCGUGCCGCGACCUGUGCCAGCCCUUGUGCCGUCCUCGUGCGUUCACACCUGAGGACCUGUGCAGGGAUGCUCUUCCCCAGUGUGGCAGGGGCCGCCCAGCUAUUCACCAAAAUCCGCUCUCUCCACAGUGACAGCGUCGUAGCCAGGCCCAGGGCCAGAUUACGUCCUCCUCUGUAGUGGGCACAGCUAUCCCAUCAAGUUCUCUCUAACGGAACGUGAAUAGAAAUAAAGCGAUCGACUUCUCAGCUGGGCUUCUGAGCAAGGAGUACUCCUUCUCCAUGCUGUUUCUUCUUCCACCAGGAUGGAUUCCCAGAUCUCCGCACUGUGAAAAUUCAGUGGCCAAGCCGCUGAGCAGUGUGCCACUGCUCAGAAAGACUAGGAGGCCCGUCUUCACCCAGAAGGCCUCUUGGGAGGGGUCUGUUGUCACUGAUAACUUCCCCCACCUCACACCCACCCCACUUUAUAACCCUAAAGAUUUAUUAGCUUAGAAUAAAUUCCCAGUUACCAUCCAUAAAGCAAAUACAGGGGCCACUGCAUUGCUACUGGAUUUUGCUUCCCUCAUAGCACCAACUACUUAAUUAUGGUCGCAGCUCUAAGAGUCGGUUGACAGAAAUCCUACACGCGGUUUCCUAGUGCAUCUUACGUCUUUGGUGUGGGGCAGGCAAAAGGGUCUGCAGCAUGUGAUUGUCUCAAAGAACAUCUUAAAGACAACCUGGCUGACCUGCUGUUCGGAGCGCCCUCGUGAAGACAGUAAACCACAACUCCUUCUGCCAACCAUCUCCCAAUUUCGGAGGAUCAUGAUGAAUCUAUGUGACUUUCUGCCACAUCACUGAAGACUCACAACAUACAUACAAACGUCACAGCAAAAAGAAAAGGAGACGGAACAGGACAGAAGAGAAAGGUCUCUAAGUGCCCCCAAAUGAAAAUGUCAAAAACUCCUGAGAUAUGAGCCUCCGUUUUGAUUGUGCUCAAUGACUUGAAUUUUGAAAGAAAGAAUAAGCUUGCAAAGAGAGUAAGACUUCACACAAAAUCAUUUAACACUAAGUUCACGAAUCACCCUUUCGAAGCAUCUGUUUCAAACACAUUGCAAACUCUAGCUUGGAAUCAGGAGUCAUUCUCAAAAUUCUUUUCAAUAAAACCAAGAUUUCAGAUUC